GACGAACGCUGGCGGCGUGCCUAAUACAUGCAAGUAGAACGCUGAAGAGAGGAGCUUGCUCUUCUUGGAUGAGUUGCGAACGGGUGAGUAACGUGUAGGUAACCUGCCUUGUAGCGGGGGAUAACUAUUGGAAACGAUAGCUAAUACCGCAUAACAAUGGAUGACACAUGUCAUUUAUUUGAAAGGGGCAAUUGCUCCACUACAAGAUGGACCUGCGUUGUAUUAGCUAGUAGGUGAGGUAACGGCUCACCUAGGCGACGAUACAUAGCCGACCUGAGAGGGUGAUCGGCCACACUGGGACUGAGACACGGCCCAGACUCCUACGGGAGGCAGCAGUAGGGAAUCUUCGGCAAUGGGGGCAACCCUGACCGAGCAACGCCGCGUGAGUGAAGAAGGUUUUCGGAUCGUAAAGCUCUGUUGUAAGUCAAGAACGAGUGUGAGAGUGGAAAGUUCACACUGUGACGGUAGCUUACCAGAAAGGGACGGCUAACUACGUGCCAGCAGCCGCGGUAAUACGUAGGUCCCGAGCGUUGUCCGGAUUUAUUGGGCGUAAAGCGAGCGCAGCGGUUUGAUAAGUCUGAAGUUAAGGCUGUGGCUCAACCAUAGUUCGCUUUGGAAACUGUCAAACUUGAGUGCAGAAGGGGAGAGUGGAAUUCCAUGUGUAGCGGUGAAAUGCGUAGAUAUAUGGAGGAACACCGGUGGCGAAAGCGGCUCUCUGGUCUGUAACUGACGCUGAGGCUCGAAAGCGUGGGGAGCGAACAGGAUUAGAUACCCUGGUAGUCCACGCCGUAAACGAUGAGUGCUAGGUGUUGGAUCCUUUCCGGGAUUCAGUGCCGCAGCUAACGCAUUAAGCACUCCGCCUGGGGAGUACGACCGCAAGGUUGAAACUCAAAGGAAUUGACGGGGGCCCGCACAAGCGGUGGAGCAUGUGGUUUAAUUCGAAGCAACGCGAAGAACCUUACCAGGUCUUGACAUCCCGAUGCUAUUUCUAGAGAUAGAAAGUUACUUCGGUACAUCGGUGACAGGUGGUGCAUGGUUGUCGUCAGCUCGUGUCGUGAGAUGUUGGGUUAAGUCCCGCAACGAGCGCAACCCCUAUUGUUAGUUGCCAUCAUUCAGUUGGGCACUCUAGCGAGACUGCCGGUAAUAAACCGGAGGAAGGUGGGGAUGACGUCAAAUCAUCAUGCCCCUUAUGACCUGGGCUACACACGUGCUACAAUGGUUGGUACAACGAGUUGCGAGUCGGUGACGGCAAGCUAAUCUCUUAAAGCCAAUCUCAGUUCGGAUUGUAGGCUGCAACUCGCCUACAUGAAGUCGGAAUCGCUAGUAAUCGCGGAUCAGCACGCUGCGGUGAAUACGUUCCCGGGCCU
rnacentral:rRNA from 1 species